GACGAACGCUGGCGGCGUGCUUAGCACAUGCAAGUCGAACGGAAAGGCCCUGCUUUUGUGGGGUGCUCGAGUGGCGAACGGGUGAGUAACACGUGAGUAACCUGCCCUUGACUUUGGGAUAACUUCAGGAAACUGGGGCUAAUACCGGAUAGGAGCUCCUGCUGCAUGGUGGGGGUUGGAAAGUUUCGGCGGUUGGGGAUGGACUCGCGGCUUAUCAGCUUGUUGGUGGGGUAGUGGCUUACCAAGGCUUUGACGGGUAGCCGGCCUGAGAGGGUGACCGGCCACAUUGGGACUGAGAUACGGCCCAGACUCCUACGGGAGGCAGCAGUGGGGAAUAUUGCACAAUGGGCGGAAGCCUGAUGCAGCAACGCCGCGUGCGGGAUGACGGCCUUCGGGUUGUAAACCGCUUUCGCCCGUGACGAAGCGUGAGUGACGGUAAUGGGUAAAGAAGCACCGGCUAACUACGUG
rnacentral:rRNA from 1 species